rnacentral:rRNA from 1 species
CCUACGGGGGGCACCAGUGGGGAAUAUUGUACAAUGGGCGCAAGCCUGAUGCAGCCAUGCCGCGUGUAUGAAGAAGGCCUUCGGGUUGUAAAGUACUUUCAGCGGGGAGGAAGGCGAUAAGGUUAAUAACCUUGUCGAUUGGCGUUACCCGCAGAAGAAGCACCGGCUAACUCCGUGCCAGCAGCCGCGGUAAUACGGAGGGUGCAAGCGUUAAUCGGAAUUACUGGGCGUAAAGCGCACGCAGGCGGUCUGUCAAGUCGGAUGUGAAAUCCCCGGGCUCAACCUGGGAACUGCAUCUGAUACUGGCAAGCUUGAGUCUCGUAGAGGGGGGUAGAAUUCCAGGUGUAGCGGUGAAAUGCGUAGAGAUCUGGAGGAAUACCGGUGGCGAAGGCGGCCCCCUGGACGAAGACUGACGCUCAGGUGCGAAAGCGUGGGGAGCAAACAGGAUUAGAUACCCUA